GACGGCCUUCGGGUCGUAAAGCUCUGUUGCUCUAGGGAAGAACACGUACCAGAMGUAACUGCUGGUACCUUGUACGGCUACCUAASYYAGAAAGCCACGGCUAACUACGUSCCAGCAGCCGCGGUAAUWCGUASGUGGCAAGCGUUGUCCGRAAUUAUUGGGCGUAAAGCSCGCGCAGGCGGUUUUUUAAGUCUGAUGUSAAAGCCCACGGCUCAACCGUGKARGGUCAUUGGAAACUGGWGAACUUGAGUGCAGAAGAGGAGAGCGGAAUUCCACGUGUAGCGRUSAACAUGCGUAGAGAUGUGGAGGAACACCAGUGGCGAAGGCGGCUCUCUGGUCUGUAAYUGACGCUGAGGCGCGAAAGCGUGGGGAGAAAACAGGAUUDGAUAUCCCUGGUAGAGCCACGCCGUAAACGAUGAGUGCUAAGUGUKAGAGGGUUUCGCGCUGUUUAGUGCUGCAGCDAACGCAUUAAGCACUCCGC
rnacentral:rRNA from 1 species